GACGAACCGUGCGAGCGUUAUUCGGAAUCACUGGGCUUAAAGGGCGCGUAGGCGGGCCAGCAAGUCAGGGGUGAAAGCCCACGGCUCAACCGUGGAAGUGCCUCUGAUACUGCGGGCCUCGAGGGAGGUAGGGGCGUGCGGAACUUCCGGUGGAGCGGUGAAAUGCGUAGAUAUCGGAAGGAACACCGGUGGCGAAAGCGGCGCGCUGGACCUCUUCUGACGCUGAGGCGCGAAAGCCAGGGGAGCAAACGGG
rnacentral:rRNA from 1 species